rnacentral:tRNA from 4 species
GGAGGGGUGGCAGAGCGGUCAAAUGCAGCGGACUGUAACUCCGCCGACUUAGUCUACGCAGGUUCGAAUCCUGCCCCCUCCACCA